rnacentral:lncRNA from 1 species
AUUGUACCCACUUCCUGGCUAUCACGCUUUUCAGAACCAGUCCCUUAACCUUUAGAGCAGUUCUUCCAGGUGAUUAUUCUUGACUGCUCUGUGAACUGAAGACAAGGACGAGAUUCAGAGAAACAGAGAGGUUGCAUCCAUUUCUCAGGGCCCAGACGGUGACACUAAGGAUGAAGACCUAGCUCUGUUAUCCUUCAGGCUUUAUACCCUUCCUGUACUGGUUCCAAUCCAUAGCAAGAAACCACCCUUGAACAGCUGAGCCGUGAGAAGCCAGAAAGCCUGAUGUGGUCCACCCCUUUCCCUGGAAUCACUCCUUUCCAUGUGGGCUGAAUGCCCACGUGCAGCUGUCUGAUCUCAGGAUUUCUAUCAUCCAGAGUAAGUUCAAAAUGAAAGCCAGGGACGGGGAGGCUACCAUUCAAGCCAUAACGGAAACCACUGUUGUGUGUGCUCAGUUCAAAUCGUUUCCGCAGAUUCUCUGGAAGCUCCAGCGGGGUUGGCCCAGCUCCUGGCUUCCUCUCCUGGCAACAGCCUCAGGUCUUUUUGAUGAAUUGAAUGAGAAGUGGAGCCCUCAGGUCCAGUCCUGAUCCUGCAGCUCUUUAAAAGAAAGGAGCAUUUCAAGGCUUCCUGGAUAUGCCUAUGUUUUGCUCCAGAGUUCUCAACCCACAGGACAGCCAGCCAACUUGAGUUCAAAGCCAUAGGGAAUGGGGCACGCCCAGAUCCUGGAUGCUGAGUCUCUGCCUUGUGUGCCCUGAGAAGUCCUGCCAGCUAGGCCACUCCUGCCCCAGUACAAGGCUCUCCGGGACAUAGAGCUAUACAGCUAAGACCUUAAGUUGCUCUUGCCCAGACUCCCAAAAUGGGUAAGCAAGCCCUCCUCAGAAUCCUGCCUCCGAUCUUCCCUCUGUGUGACUUUAAGAAGUGACUGGAAUACUCUCAUAGCUCAUUUUUCUUCUGUGGCAUAGGGGUAGGAUAAAAGAAGCCUGUGCUGACUCAGCACUUGCCAGUAAAAGUUAUUUUUCAGGAGAGAUGGGAGCAGGAUAAAAAGAGAUGGUUUUAAUCCUCUACUUCCCCUGUAGCAGGUGCUUGCUCAUGAAGCUUACACAGAACUCAUGUGACCACGAAGCCAAGGUGGCCGAGAGAAGGCAGCUUCCUGGAAUCUCAGCCUUCCACCAGGCCAGGAGCCAGUCUGCUGCUUCUGUCUGCCUGUACCAAGCAUCUCCCUCAGAGGGAGGAGCCAUGGCCCCAGAAGAUGCUAAGCACUAAAGGAGGCCAUAUGCUUCUACCUUACCAGC